CGACGGCGACCUCUCGCGCC
rnacentral:miRNA from 1 species